CCAAGGUUUAUGAAAUUGAAGCGAGGAUCUCAAGUAAUGGAUGAAACAUGAUUUAUAGGUACCUUAAUGUUAGUAGUAGUUUACUCGUAGAUUCAGUUCACAAAAUUGCACUAGUCGAAAACUUAAUUAGGACUCUGUUACCAUAUAAGGUGAAUCAUAACAUGUCAUUAAGCAAGCCAUCUCUAACUCAUCGUCACCAAUGAUAAGAGCGAGCCAUGGUGAUAAGAUGAAAUGAUUACAGUUUGGUUCACUUUAUAUGUAGG
rnacentral:lncRNA from 1 species